rnacentral:rRNA from 1 species
CACGGGGGGAACGAGCGUUGUUCGGAUUUACUGGGCGUAAAGGGUGCGUAGGCGGGCCGGUCAGUCGGGUGUGAAAGCUCACGGCUUAACCGUGAAUCUGCAUCCGAAACUGCCGGUCUUGAGUACGGGAGAGGAAAGUGGAAUUCCAGGUGUAGCGGUGAAAUGCGUAGAUAUCUGGAGGAACACCGGUGGCGAAGGCGGCUUUCUGGACCGAUACUGACGCUGAGGCACGAAGGCCGGGGGAGCAAAC